GGGGGCAUGGUUUAAGUGGUAGAGCAUCUGCCUAGCAAGCAGGAGGCCCUGGAUUCAAGCUCCAGUACUACAA
rnacentral:tRNA from 1 species